GCUCAGUGGUAGAGUGCUUGCCUUGCACGCAUGAGGCUUUGGGUUCGAUUCCUCA
rnacentral:tRNA from 1 species